GAUAUGAAUGUUCUGCACAUGAAAGAACUCAGAAAGCAUGUUCAUAUUUACAUAGUGUCACUCCCAGUUUGUUGGGACAAGAUGCAAGUAACUAGGGCUAUUUAUCAUCUUUUCUAAUCCUCAUCUUUUGUAUUUCUUUCUGAAUAUUCUUUCAUUCUUUUUUUUAUAUCCUAUUUUCACAAUCUUAAUCAAAGAUGCAGUUCUUAACUAUGAUAUUAUACAAACAAUGGAGCACCACAAAUGACACCAAAUCUGUUCUUCAAGACCCUUUAUGGAGUUCAUACCCAACUCAAGCUGAACAAGCAGUGCUGCAGUUGCCACCAUUUCCCUUCACAUCAAAGGAUCAACUCAAUUAAGUAUUGUAGGAUGAAUUUCCUUCAUGAGUGUUUUAGAUUUUUUCUUUUCUUUUUGUUGUAAUUUGCAUUUCUGAAAUAAUAAUACAAUGAUUCUCAUAUGGUCUGAAAUGAAAAUUGUAAUUCCCUCGAA